AGCCCAGCUUGCUGGGUGGAUUAGUGGCGAACGGGUGAGUAACACGUGAGUAACCUGCCCUUAACUCUGGGAUAAGCCUGGGAAACUGGGUCUAAUACCGGAUAGGAGCGUCCACCGCAUGGUGGGUGUUGGAAAGAUUUAUCGGUUUUGGAUGGACUCGCGGCCUAUCAGCUUGUUGGUGAGGUAAUGGCUCACCAAGGCGACGACGGGUAGCCGGCCUGAGAGGGUGACCGGCCACACUGGGACUGAGACACGGCCCAGACUCCUACGGGAGGCAGCAGUGGGGAAUAUUGCACAAUGGGCGCAAGCCUGAUGCAGCGACGCCGCGUGAGGGAUGACGGCCUUCGGGUUGUAAACCUCUUUCAGUAGGGAAGAAGCGAAAGUGACGGUACCUGCAGAAGAAGCACCGGCUAACUACGUGCCAGCAGCCGCGGUAAUACGUAGGGUGCGAGCGUUAUCCGGAAUUAUUGGGCGUAAAGAGCUCGUAGGCGGUUUGUCGCGUCUGUCGUGAAAGUCCGGGGCUUAACCCCGGAUCUGCGGUGGGUACGGGCAGACUAGAGUGCAGUAGGGGAGACUGGAAUUCCUGGUGUAGCGGUGGAAUGCGCAGAUAUCAGGAGGAACACCGAUGGCGAAG
rnacentral:rRNA from 1 species